AUCCAGGCUGAUCUAUGGCACAGUGUGAGGAGGGCACAUGUGGUACAGUGUGAGCGUGGAAUAUGCUUCAUCACAUGUGACCUCACUUCACCGUACUGUGUCUUUGUCUGGAU